GUGGGAGACCAGGUUAGCAGCCCCCUUGAUAAAGAUAGAAGAGGUCCUAGUGGCUUUUAUAGUACAUAUAUGGUUAAGGCACCUAUUCUGUGGCAUCUAACUGGCUACUAGG
rnacentral:ncRNA from 1 species